GAUGAACGCUGGCGGCGUGCCUAAUACAUGCCAGUCGAGCGAACAGACGAGGAGCUUGCUCCUCUGACGUUAGCGGCGGACGGGUGAGUAACACGUGGAUAACCUACCUAUAAGACUGGGAUAACUUCGGGAAACCGGAGCUAAUACCGGAUAAUAUAUUGAACCGCAUGGUUCAAUAGUGAAAGACGGUUUUGCUGUCACUUAUAGAUGGAUCCGCGCCGCAUUAGCUAGUUGGUAAGGUAACGGCUUACCAAGGCAACGAUGCGUAGCCGACCUGAGAGGGUGAUCGGCCACACUGGAACUGAGACACGGUCCAGACUCCUACGGGAGGCAGCAGUAGGGAAUCAUCCGCAAUGGGCGAAAGCCUGACGGAGCAACGCCGCGUGAGUGAUGAAGGUCUUCGGAUCGUAAAACUCUGUUAUUAGGGAAGAACAAAUGUGUAAGUAACUAUGCACGUCUUGACGGUACCUAAUCAGAAAGCCACGGCUAACUACGUG
rnacentral:rRNA from 1 species